rnacentral:rRNA from 1 species
GUGAAGCAGGAGCUUGCUCUUGUGGAUCAGUGGCGAACGGGUGAGUAACACGUGAGCAACCUGCCCCUGACUCUGGGAUAAGCGCUGGAAACGGCGUCUAAUACUGGAUAUGUGACGUGACCGCAUGGUCUGCGUUUGGAAAGAUUUUUCGGUUGGGGAUGGGCUCGCGGCCUAUCAGCUUGUUGGUGAGGUAAUGGCUCACCAAGGCGUCGACGGGUAGCCGGCCUGAGAGGGUGACCGGCCACACUGGGACUGAGACACGGCCCAGACUCCUACGGGAGGCAGCAGUGGGGAAUAUUGCACAAUGGGCGAAAGCCUGAUGCAGCAACGCCGCGUGAGGGAUGACGGCCUUCGGGUUGUAAACCUCUUUUAGCAGGGAAGAAGCGAAAGUGACGGUACCUGCAGAAAAAGCGCCGGCUAACUACGUGCCAGCAGCCGCGGUAAUACGUAGGGCGCAAGCGUUAUCCGGAAUUAUUGGGCGUAAAGAGCUCGUAGGCGGUUUGUCGCGUCUGCUGUGAAAUCCCGAGGCUCAACCUCGGGCCUGCAGUGGGUACGGGCAGACUAGAGUGCGGUAGGGGAGAUUGGAAUUCCUGGUGUAGCGGUGGAAUGCGCAGAUAUCAGGAGGAACACCGAUGGCGAAGGCAGAUCUCUGGGCCGUAACUGACGCUGAGGAGCGAAAGGGUGGGGAGCAAACAGGCUUAGAUACCCUGGUAGUCCACCCCGUAAACGUUGGGAACUAGUUGUGGGGUCCAUUCCACGGAUUCCGUGACGCAGCUAACGCAUUAAGUUCCCCGCCUGGGGAGUACGGCCGCAAGGCUAAAACUCAAAGGAAUUGACGGGGACCCGCACAAGCGGCGGAGCAUGCGGAUUAAUUCGAUGCAACGCGAAGAACCUUACCAAGGCUUGACAUAUACGAGAACGGGCCAGAAAUGGUCAACUCUUUGGACACUCGUAAACAGGUGGUGCAUGGUUGUCGUCAGCUCGUGUCGUGAGAUGUUGGGUUAAGUCCCGCAACGAGCGCAACCCUCGUUCUAUGUUGCCAGCACGUAAUGGUGGGAACUCAUGGGAUACUGCCGGGGUCAACUCGGAGGAAGGUGGGGAUGACGUCAAAUCAUCAUGCCCCUUAUGUCUUGGGCUUCACGCAUGCUACAAUGGCCGGUACAAAGGGCUGCAAUACCGUGAGGUGGAGCGAAUCCCAAAAAGCCGGUCCCAGUUCGGAUUGAGGUCUGCAACUCGACCUCAUGAAGUCGGAGUCGCUAGUAAUCGCAGAUCAGCAACGCUGCGGUGAAUACGUUCCCGGGUCUUGUACACACCGCCCGUCAAGUCAUGAAAGUCGGUAACACCUGAAGCCGGUGGCCUAACCC